CCUACGGGGGGCAGCAGUGAGGAAUAUUGGUCAAUGGACGAGAGUCUGAACCAGCCAAGUAGCGUGAAGGAUGACUGCCCUAUGGGUUGUAAACUUCUUUUAUAUGGGAAUAAAAUGUUCCACGUGUGGGAUUUUGUAUGUACCAUAUGAAUAAGGAUCGGCUAACUCCGUGCCAGCAGCCGCGGUAAUACGGAGGAUCCGAGCGUUAUCCGGAUUUAUUGGGUUUAAAGGGAGCGUAGAUGGAUUGUUAAGUCAGUUGUGAAAGUUUGCGGCUCAACCGUAAAAUUGCAGUUGAAACUGGCAGUCUUGAGUACAGUAGAGGUGGGCGGAAUUCGUGGUGUAGCGGUGAAAUGCUUAGAUAUCACGAAGAACUCCGAUUGCGAAGGCAGUUCACUGGACUGCAACUGACACUGAGGCUCGAAAGUGUGGGUAUCAAACAGGAUUAGAUACCCGUGUAGUC
rnacentral:rRNA from 1 species